UUUUAUUCUUUCCAUGAUCUCUUUGUCCCCUCUUCUUUGCUUCCUAAUUUACAACUCAUUGUACCUUAUUGUACAUUGCAUCAGAGGUAGAAAAAUCUAGAAAUAUAUAAAAAUAGAGAUUUGUUUAUAUUCAUAAAAUUAGAAAAUUUUUUUGAGAAACGAGUCUAUGGCUCCCAUUAUGUGUAGACAAACAAUUAUCUUGCCUUUUGGCAUGAUGGGAUUAAUGCCUUGCAUGACAUUUGUUGAUAUAUAUG
rnacentral:lncRNA from 1 species